GUCAGGAUGGCCGAGUGGUCUAAGGCGCCAGACUUAACUUCUGGUCUCUGAGUGGAGGCGUGGGUUAGAAUCCCACUUCUGACA
rnacentral:tRNA from 1 species